rnacentral:rRNA from 1 species
UACGUAGGGGGCUAGCGUUGUCCGGAAUCAUUGGGCGUAAAGCGCGUGUAGGCGGUCCGGUAAGUCCGCUGUGAAAGUCCGGGGCUCAACUCCGGAUCUGCGGUGGGUACGGGCAGACUAGAGUGAUGUAGGGGAGACUGGAAUUCCUGGUGUAGCGGUGAAAUGCGCAGAUAUCAGGAGGAACACCAAUGGCGAAGGCAGCACUCUGGGACGUGACUGACGCUGAGACGCGAAAGCGUGGGGAGCAAACAGG